GAUGAUGUUUUAAUAUUGUGUAAAUAUGUAAUUUGUUAUUUUAAUAUUUCGCAGGUAUUUGUCAGAUAUUGUUGUCUGCCAAAUAGUAUUUAUUCUAUUAGUUUUCUCAGUCAGGUACCCUUUAUCUGAUUGGCUAAUAGCACUGCAUGCUUUUCACGUGCACACACUACAUGAACAGCAGACAUGUUUGACGGGUUUUGACAGGCGACAGAUCAGAAUACAUUAUAGGUUUUCACACUCUUGUUGACCACCGGCAUUGUUUACGCUCGUGUACCACAUACAGGGGCGUUGUUUGCAAUGACAUAAUGAACUUUAUGAAGUAAAUCAUUUCCAAACGU